GAAGAGAUCUCAUACGAGGAGAUCUUGCACUAAUAGAAGAGAUCUCAUGCUAAUAAAGGAGAUUUUGCACUAAUAGAGGAGAUCUUGCACUAAUAAAGAUCUUGCUCUAAUAGAGGAGAUCUUGCACUAAUAGAGGAGAUCU